AAACUUUAUAAGGCAUAAUUAUGAGAAUAUGUUGCCAGUGACGCAGGAAUUAUGUUUCAAUGCCGGCCUUCAGCGUCUUUGAAAAAUAGAUUUCAUUAACAAUAAUCAGUUACACCUAAACACACAGUAUUUGUAGUAGCAGUAACGUAUCUGUUCACCUGUGUGGCGACAGCAUUUGAUGUUUGUAGAAAUUCUUUGGAGGAAAGACAUAUUUUAGGCUUUUAUAUUUUGCACAGAGCUAGUCGUUAGCAUACAAGACAAUAAACUGGUUCAUGCUGAUUACAGAUGCCAUUUUAUACAGAAUAUAUCUUCCAAAGGGUGCUCUGGCGACAACAUGAUUUG